UAAUUGAAGAGUUUGAUCAUGGCUCAGAUUGAACGCUGGCGGCAGGCCUAACACAUGCAAGUCGAGCGGUAACAGGGGAAGCUUGCUUCUCGCUGACGAGCGGCGGACGGGUGAGUAAUGUAUGGGGAUCUGCCUGAUAGAGGGGGAUAACUACUGGAAACGGUAGCUAAUACCGCAUAAUCUCUCAGGAGCAAAGCAGGGGAACUUCGGUCCUUGCGCUAUCGGAUGAACCCAUAUGGGAUUAGCUAGUAGGUGAGGUAAU
rnacentral:rRNA from 1 species